AAACUGAAUGCUUAUUGCACCACAUGUGUUUUUCUUUGAAACAAACUUGCUUUGGCGGUGGGCCCAGCCUGCCGCCAGAGGUCUAAACUUACAACCAAUUUUUUAUCAACUUGUCACACCAGAUUAUUACUAAUAGUCAAAACUUUCAACAACGGAUCUCUUGGUUCUCGCAUCGAUGAAGAACGCAGCGAAAUGCGAUACGUAAUAUGAAUUGCAGAUAUUCGUGAAUCAUCGAAUCUUUGAACGCACAUUGCGCCCUCUGGUAUUCCGGAGGGCAUGCCUGUUUGAGCGUCGUUUCUCCCUCAAACCGCUGGGUUUGGUGUUGAGCAAUACGACUUGGGUUUGCUUGAAAGACGGUAGUGGUAAGGCGGGAUCGCUUUGACAAUGGCUUAGGUCUAACCAAAAACAUUGCUUGCGGCGGCAACGUCUACCACGUAUAUCUUCAAACUUUGACCUCAAAUCAGGUAGGACUACCCGCUGAACUUAAGCAUAUCAAAAGGCGGAGGAA
rnacentral:rRNA from 1 species